AAGGGAUUAAUAUGCCGAUGUUUGUAAAAGUCAAUUUGGGCCAAUUAGGAUUUAUACUUUAUGACAAUAGCGGUUUAAAUGAUGUGCACUGAUGACAAAUGAACUUAAUUGGGUGUGAUUACUGCGAAGUUAGCGAGAAGGGCAAGUGCGAAUCACAGUUCCAGUUGGUACAAACAAGAUGCAGAUAAAAAAUGGCACUGCGAAGUUUGUAGAUGUGCUAAGUUGGACAACGCCUAAGCCCUUGGACAUGACCAACCAGCAAAAACAACCAAUCAUCAGAGACAUGGCUUGUCAAAUCAGCACAAGGCCGCCUUGGAGAGACAGUUCUGCGUUCCCAGGAACCCAUGAGGAAAAUCGUACUGGCCAAACUGUCCAAGGAUGACAAGCUUGACCCCAAGCUCCUUCAGAAUGCCUACCACCUGGCUAAGCGGGAGCUCCCCAAGGAGGAAUUUCAGUACCACCUCCAGCUUGCCAGGGCCAUAGGUGCUGAUCUUGGCCAUCUCAUGAAUGGGCACUCACCCUCUUACACAUCAAACAAGAGUGUA